rnacentral:rRNA from 1 species
UACGGGGGGAGCAAGCGUUGUUCGGAUUUACUGGGCGUAAAGGGCGCGUAGGCGGCCAGCGCAAGUCAGUUGUGAAAUCUCCGGGCUUAACUCGGAACGGUCAACUGAUACUGCGCGGCUAGAGUGCAGAAGGGGCAACUGGAAUUCUCGGUGUAGCGGUGAAAUGCGUAGAUAUCGAGAGGAACACCUGCGGCGAAGGCGGGUUGCUGGGCUGACGCUGAUGCGCGAAAGCCAGGGGAGCGAACGGG